AGCUCCCUUUAAAGAAUUGUAUCAGUAAUCAAGUGCAGUGUAAUUUCUCUAAAAAUGUGGGCAUUCUCAUCAAGGUCAUUUACACCGUGUUUCUUUCUAAGAUCAUCAAAGUAGAAAUUUGAAAUAUGCUUCCUGGAAGGAAUUCUCUGAUUUCAUGAAGUGGUCCAUUCCUGCCUUUCUUUAUUUCCUGGAUAACUUGAUUGUCUUCUAUGUCCUGUCCUAUCUUCAACCAGCCAUGGCUGUUAUCUUCUCAAAUUUUAGCAUUAUAACAACAGCUCUUCUAUUCAGGAUAGUGCUGAAGAGGCGUCUAAACUGGAUCCAGUGGGCUUCCCUCCUGACUUUAUUUUUGUCUAUUGUGGCCUUGACUGCCGGGACUAAAACUUUACAGCACAACUUGGCAGGACGUGGAUUUCAUCACGAUGCCUUUUUCAGCCCUUCCAAUUCCUGCCUUCUUUUCAGAAGUGAGUGUCCCAGAAAAGACAAUUGUACAGCAAAGGAAUGGACUUUUCCU
rnacentral:lncRNA from 1 species